CAGAUCAGAACCGUAAAUAACUGCCAAAGAAGAGGACCCUUCUCUCUUCUCUGCAGUUACUUCAUUUUACAGUAUCAGGAAAUCUCAUCAUAGAACUCCCAUCCAACUGGAGUAAUUCAUCAAGGAUUUUUGAUGGCAGCUCUGAGAGUUUCCGAAGUUACUGUAGAAAUCCUGUCGCUCCUUUUAAUGUAAGUGUCUUUGCUUUCCUUCAGAGUAAAAUUGAUGACAUGUGUCCUUCUUUGCAUCUUGGCUUUCUUAUUUAUGAUUAAGGAGGCUUAUGGCAGAAUCAACAGCGCUGGAAUCAUUUGAUAAUUUACAUAAACACUCUCUCUGAUCGUUAUCGGCAUUCUCGCUACACCUGGAUGGGGACCCUCCUUAGGUUUUCUUCCAUAUUUGGAAAAACAUAAGCUGAUUUAGGUGACCACUAGGGAGAGUGGACUAGGAUGAACAUUGUCUUGAAAUUGUCGUGCGAGAAAUGUCAAAGCUUCGGAGCGCCUGAGUGGCUCAGUCGGUUAAGCGUCCGACUUUGGCUCAGGUCAUGAUCUCAUAGUUUGUGGGUUUGAGCCCCGCUCAGGCUCUGUGCUGAUAGCUCAGAGCCCGGGACCUACUUGGAUUCUGUGUUUCCCUCUCUCUCUGCCCCUCCCCUACUUGCGCUCUGUCUCUUUGUCUCUCUCAAAAAUAAGUAAACAU
rnacentral:lncRNA from 1 species